AGUAAAACAGUACGUGAAAUUGUUGAAAGGGAAACGAUUGAAGUCAGUCAUGCCGGCGUUGGAUUCAGCUUGCUUCGCGGAGCGGGCGCAUUUCCUCGCAUGGCAGGUCAGCGUCAGUUUUGCGCGGCGUGAAAAGGCUCGGGUAAGGUAGCUCUCUUCGGGGAGUGUUAUAGACCUGGGCAAAUGCGCAGCGCGGGACUGAGGAUUGCAGCGGACACCUCUUCGGAGGCGCGGCGACCGAACCCUGCUCGGCCACCCUCGUUCGAUAGCGUGCUAGCGGACGCGGGAGCGGCAGUGCACCGGAACAGGCAAGCCAGCGGUUCGCUUAGGAUGCUGACGUAAUGGCUUUAAA
rnacentral:misc_RNA from 1 species